rnacentral:rRNA from 1 species
CCUACGGGAGGCAGCAGUGGGGAAUUUUGGACAAUGGGCGCAAGCCUGAUCCAGCCAUGCCGCGUGAGUGAAGAAGGCCUUCGGGUUGUAAAGCUCUUUCGCAAGGAAAGAAAACUUACAUGUAAAUAAUGUGUGAGGUUGACGGUACCUUGAUAAGAAGCACCGGCUAACUACGUGCCAGCAGCCGCGGUAAUACGUAGGGUGCAAGCGUUAAUCGGAAUUACUGGGCGUAAAGCGAGCGCAGGCGGUUUUGUAAGUCAGAUGUGAAAGCCCCGGGCUCAACCUGGGAACUGCGUUUGAAACUACAAGGCUAGAGUAUGGGAGAGGGGGGUAGAAUUCCACGUGUAGCAGUGAAAUGCGUAGAGAUGUGGAGGAAUACCAAUGGCGAAGGCAGCCCCCUGGCCUAAUACUGACGCUCAGGCUCGAAAGCGUGGGGAGCAAACAGGAUUAGAUACCCUGGUAGUCCACGCCCUAAACGAUGUCAACUAGUUGUUGGGAGAGUAAAAUCUCUUAGUAACGCAGCUAACGCGUGAAGUUGACCGCCUGGGGAGUACGGUCGCAAGAUUAAAACUCAAAUGAAUUGACGG